GACGAACGCUGGCGGCGUGCUUAACACAUGCAAGUCGAACGGAAAGGCCCUGCUUGCAGGGUACUCGAGUGGCGAACGGGUGAGUAACUCGUGGGUGAUCUGCCCUGCACUUCGGGUUAAGCCUGGGCAACUGGGUCUAAUACCGGCUAGGUGCCAUUUUUAGUGUGAUGGUUGGAUAGUUUUUUCCGUGUAGGAUGAGCUCGCGGCCUAUCGGCUUGUUGGUGGGGUAAUGGCCUACCAAGGCGGCGUAGGGUAGCCGGCCUGCGAGGGUGGACUGCGACAUUGGGUCCGAGAGGCGGCCCAGACUCCUACGCGAGGCAGCAGUGGGGAAGAUUGCACAAUGAGCGCAAGCCUGAUGCAGCGACGCCGCGUGGGGGAUGACUGCCUUCGGGUGGUAAACUACUUGCGCUAGGGACGAAGCUUUUUGUGGCGGUACCUAGAUAAGAAGCACCGGCUAACUACGUG
rnacentral:rRNA from 1 species